GUUUCGCUCUCCACUGUUUCACCAUUUCCUCUGUAUUUUUCACCUGACACAGAGCAGAAAAGGACGACUUUACCAUCAUGCUUUUGUUUCUGGUUGUGAUGGGUUUGCUCUCAGAGAAUCUGUGUUCUUCAUCUUUAGAAGCAGAUCCUGGAGAUAAUGUCACGCUUUGGUGCCAGCAUGAGCUGGAUCAUGCAGGUUACAUCUUCUGGUUCUACCAGGACCUCAGUACUGCUGCUUUAAGUACCACUUCAGUACCGGCUCUUAUUGGCUGUAGGCAUUUUAAGAUGUCAAGCCCAGCACAUGUGUGUUACUUCUACAGUGGCAGAGAGCGCAUGGUGAUGUCUGUUCAAGGCAAGAACACGUCUCUCACCAUCACUGCAGUAAAUGUCUCUGAUACAGGACUCUACUACUGCGGGUUUAUGCAGCUCAACCAAAUCUCAUUCAGCAAUUCUAGCUACUUGAGGAUGAAAGGUGGAAAUGAAACACUUCCCAAAAGCACAGACACAACACCAGUACUACUACCAGGUUCAGACACUUCGUCAGUGUUCUUCAUCCUGAAUGUGGCGUUCAGUUCAGCGACUCUAAUUCUUUUUUGUGUCCUGAUCUUCCUCACACUGAUGUACAGAACAACACACAAAGUUGACAAUCCUGAAGCCACAAAUACGUCAAACCUGGUUCAAACUAAUAGGAAGCCAACAGUAACUCAAGUAACAUCUUGUUACAACCGAGGCAUGCAGAAGUGCUUCUCUGAACACACAAUACGUCGACCUUUGAAGCAGAUGGACUACAGCAGCAGAAGAUCACAUCAGCUAAGAGCAGAAAGAACAGGAAACGGAGGAUACAAUUCAGAUGGACUCCACUAAAAUCGGACAAUAGACAAUCAGGAAAUCUUGACUUAUUUCUGAUGAGUCUUGAUUUCUGCUGUGAGAUUCAGAUGGCCGGGCCAGAAUUUGUCGGGAACAACAUGAAAGCGUGGAUCCAUCCUGCCUUGUAUGAGCAGUUCAGGCUGGUGGUGUAAUGCUGGGGAGUUUUUCUUGGCACACUUUCCCAACCAAUUGAGCAUGGUUUAAAUGCCACAGACUACCUGAGUAUUAUUUCUGACCGUGUCCAUCCCUUUAAGAGCACAGGAUAACGUGCCAUGUCACAAAGCUAAUCAUCUCAAACUAAUUUCUUGAACAUGACAGUGAGGUCACUGUACUCACACAACCUCCACAGUCACCAGAUAUCAAUCUAGGCCAUAAAGAAUUCAGGCAGAUCUGAAGGCAAAAGUGGUAGAAUCCGGUACUACUAAGGUUGUACCUAAUGAACUGGCCGGUUAGAUUCAAACUCCCAGCCCUGCCUGUGCUAAGUGACGGCUCUAACCACUGAGAGACUAAGGCUGUUUGCUGUGGGCUGCACACAUUUUCAUGUGUGAAACAGUCUGAAGUGAGAUACUGUAUACACAGAACUGCCUAACCAAAAAAAAAUAAAAAUAAAUAAGAAGGCACAUCACUUUAUGUGCCAGUCGCUCUGAGAUAGGGUCACUAUGGACGCAUCUGACCACACAACCUUUUUCCAUCGCUCCAAAGGCCAAUCUUUAUGCUCAUCAGUGUGCAUCACUAGCACACUGAUGCCUUUGUUCUGAUGAAUCUCACUAAGAAGUGGUUUUCCUAUGGAAACACAGCUGUUUUGUCCCAGGCCUGUUCUCAUCACGUUUUGUAUGUAUGGAAAUGCUCUUACUGUCACUAUUAAUCAUAGCUCUGGUAUUUACUGUUGAUUUUUUUCCCCAUGCACCUUCUCUAUUUCCAUUCAUGAUUUCAUUUGUUUCACAAAGUUGACAGUUAUUCCCCAACUAUUCCUCCCGGUUUUGGUAGCCCAAUAAUAAAAAUGGGGCCUUUUUUGUGGUCAGGCAGUGAUAAAGUAGGACACCAAAACUUCUUCUAAUGAAUAAUAGGCUUCAUUAUAAAGGUUACACUAAUAAAUAAUGGAGAUCAAUCUUGAAACUUGACACAUGAUCUAACUCCAUGGCUUUAAAAACUUUAAAGGUGGGACAUUUGUCUUCAUUAAUUUAUUUUAGACAACCCCUGCAUAUGUGCUCUUACCCUCUUCAUCUAUUAAGGAUUUUACUUCUCAUUUUCAACAAUUCUGGAAGGCCUGAAAAAAUUUCAGCUUGUCUAGGCGAUGGAAUAUGUAUGUUUCACUUAUCUUUUGAUAGAGAUGUGCAUCUCUCUGCUCUAAAUUCUAAAGAUUAAGGCUAUUUUUUUCAGCAGUAGGUAGCAUCAUGGUAAAGAUUUGAGUCCAUGGUGGUCGUUGAUUGUGUAUUUGCACAGACAGUUCCAUCUGAGGAGAAAAUGCCGGCCAUGGUUGGAGAAACCACCUUGCAUGCUGUAAAGUUGUAUUAUUUUUGGUAUAAUGGACUUUCUCAUUGCACUGGUCAGGCCAAAGAAGUGGCAUCACUGGCUGAUGUUUCACUUUAUCGACAUGACCAUCAUGACUGCUUGGCUGCUCUACAAGAGAAAUUGCAGCAGCAUUGGGAUGAAAAAGAAAGGAACAGAUAAGGCUUUAUACAGUAUUUUUAAGUUGUAUAUCGCAGAAAGCUUGUGCAAAAAUGUCAAAAAUCUGGCAAGAGAGGUUGUCCUAGUCCCACAACUGCUAGGGGGUAUAUAAAUAAAAGGGAGAAAGGACCUGCCACACCCACUUCUGUUCUUGAAAGGGAAAUGUGAGGGAUAUACAGGGUACACCUGAAGCCAAGUGACAAAAAAUGUGACGUAAAUCUUUGUUUCACAUCCCCCAGCAACUGUUUCCUGAGGCUCCAUACAGAA